rnacentral:tRNA from 1 species
AGGUCUUUAGGUUAUGAACUUAAACCUUUAGCCUUCAAAGCUUAGAAAAGAAUGAUGUCUAAGACCUG